AUUGAACGCUGGCGGCAUGCCUUACACAUGCAAGUCGAACGGCAGCGGGCCUUCGGGUGCCGGCGAGUGGCGAACGGGUGAGUAAUGCAUCGGAACGUGCCAUUGAAUGGGGGAUAACGUAGCGAAAGUUACGCUAAUACCGCAUAUUCUGUGAGCAGGAAAGCAGGGGGACCGCAAGGCCUUGCGCUCUUUGAGCGGCCGAUGUCAGAUUAGCUAGUUGGUGAGGUAACGGCUUACCAAGGCGACGAUCUGUAGCGGGUCUGAGAGGAUGAUCCGCCACACUGGAACUGAGACGCGGUCCAGACUCCUACGGGAGGCAGCAGUGGGGAAUUUUGGGACAAUGGGCGCAAGCCUGAUCAGCCAUGCCGCGUGAGUGAAGAAGGCC
rnacentral:rRNA from 1 species